GACGAACGCUGGCGGCGUGCUUAACACAUGCAAGUCGAACGGUGAAGCGCCUUCCUUUUUGGUGGGUGUGGAUGAGUGGCGAACGGGUGAGUAACACGUGAGUAACCUGCCCCCUUCUUCUGGAUAACCGCAUGAAAGUGUGGCUAAUACGGGAUAUUCUGGGUCUGUCGCAUGAUGGGUCCGGGAAAGAUAUUGUUUCGGUGGGGGAUGGGCUCGCGGCCUAUCAGCUUGUUGGUGGGGUGAUGGCCUACCAAGGCGGUGACGGGUAGCCGGCCUGAGAGGGUGGGCGGUCCCACUGGGUCUGAGACACGGCCCAGACUCCUACGGGAGGCAGCAGUGGGGAAUGUUGCACUAUGGGCGCCAGCCUGAUGCAGCGACGCCGCGUGAGGGAUGGCGGCCUUCGGGUUGUGAACCUCUUUCGCCAGUGAAGCAGGCCUGCCUCGUUUGUGGGUGGGUUGACGGUAGCUGGAUUAGAAGCGCCGGCUAUCUCCGU
rnacentral:rRNA from 1 species